CGUAAAGUCAGCUAAUAAAGCUCUUGGGCUCAUGCCCCAAACAUGUGGAAUAACCUCCCACCUUUGCCA
rnacentral:tRNA from 1 species